rnacentral:misc_RNA from 1 species
GAUGAAGAACGUAGCAAAAUGCGAUAAGUAAUGUGAAUUGCAGAAUUCCGUGAAUCAUCGAGUCUUUGAACGCACAUUGCGCCCCCUGGUAUUCCGGGGGGCAUGCCUGUCCGAGCGUCAUUGCUGCCCAUCAAGCACGGCUUGUGUGUUGGGUCCUCGUCCCCCCCGGGGGACGUGCCCGAAAGGCAGCGGCGGCACCGCGUCCGGUCCUCGAGCGUAUGGGGCUUUGUCACCCGCUCUGCAGGCCCGGCCGGCGCUGGCCGACGCGAAAGCAACCAUUUUUUCUCCAGGUUGACCUCGGAUCAGGUAGGGAUACCCGCUGAACUUAAGCAUAUCAAUAAGCGGAGGA